GAGCGGUAGCACGGGGGAGCUUGCUCCCUGGGUGACGAGCGGCGGACGGGUGAGUAAUGUCUGGGAAACUGCCUGAUGGAGGGGGAUAACUACUGGAAACGGUAGCUAAUACCGCAUAACGUCGCAAGACCAAAGAGGGGGACCUUCGGGCCUCUUGCCAUCAGAUGUGCCCAGAUGGGAUUAGCUAGUAGGUGGGGUAAUGGCUCACCUAGGCGACGAUCCCUAGCUGGUCUGAGAGGAUGACCAGCCACACUGGAACUGAGACACGGUCCAGACUCCUACGGGAGGCAGCAGUGGGGAAUAUUGCACAAUGGGCGCAAGCCUGAUGCAGCCAUGCCGCGUGUGUGAAGAAGGCCUUCGGGUUGUAAAGCACUUUCAGCGAGGAGGAAGGUGGUGAGCUUAAUACGCUCAUCAAUUGACGUUACUCGCAGAAGAAGCACCGGCUAACUCCGUGCCAGCAGCCGCGGUAAUACGGAGGGUGCACGCGUUAAUCGGAAUUACUGGGCGUAAAGCGCACGCAGGCGGUUUGUUAAGUCAGAUGUGAAAUCCCCGGGCUCAACCUGGGAACUGCAUUUGAAACUGGCAAGCUAGAGUCUCGUAGAGGGGGGUAGAAUUCCAGGUGUAGCGGUGAAAUGCGUAGAGAUCUGGAGGAAUACCGGUGGCGAAGGCGGCCCCCUGGACGAAGACUGACGCUCAGGUGCGAAAGCGUGGGGAGCAAACAGGAUUAGAUACCCUGGUAGUCCACGCUGUAAACGAUGUCGAUUUGGAGGUUGUGCCCUUGAGGCGUGGCUUCCGGAGCUAACGCGUUAAAUCGACCGCCUGGGGAGUACGGCCGCAAGGUUAAAACUCAAAUGAAUUGACGGGGGCCCGCACAAGCGGUGGAGCAUGUGGUUUAAUUCGAUGCAACGCGAAGAACCUUACCUACUCUUGACAUCCAGAGAACUUUCCAGAGAUGGAUUGGUGCCUUCGG
rnacentral:rRNA from 1 species